GAUAAACGCUGGCGGCGUGCAUAACACAUGCAAGUCGAACGAUGAAGAUUAAAAGAUUUCUUCGGAAUGAACUUAAUUGGAUUAGUGGCGGACGGGUGAGUAACGCGUGAGUAACCUGCCUUGUACAAGGGGAUAGCCGUUGGAAACGACGAAUAAUACCCUAUGACAUCAAAUAAUCGCAUGAUAAUUUGGUCAAAGAUUUAUCGGUAUAAGAUGGACUCGCGUCUGAUUAGCUAGUUGGUAGAGUAAAAGCCUACCAAGGCAACGAUCAGUAGCCGGCUGGAGAGAGUGGACGGCCACAUUGGGACUGAGACACGGCCCAGACUCCUACGGGGGGCAGCAGUGGGGAAUUUUGCACAAUGGGGGAAACCCUGAUGCAGCGACGCCGCGUGAUUUAGAAGGCCUUCGGGUUGUAAAAAUCUUUUGUAUGGGAAGAAAAUGACAGUACCAUACGAAUAAGGACCGGCUAAUUACGUG
rnacentral:rRNA from 1 species